UACGUAGGGUGCAAGCGUUGUCCGGAAUUAUUGGGCGUAAAGAGCUCGUAGGCGGUUUGUCGCGUCUGCUGUGAAAUCCCGAGGCUCAACCUCGGGCCUGCAGUGGGUACGGGCAGACUGGAGUGCGGUAGGGGGAGAAUGGAAUUCCUGGUGUAGCGGUGGAAUGCGCAGAUAUCAGGAGGAACACCGAUGGCGAAGGCAGUUCUCUGGGCCGUAACUGACGCUGAGGAGCGAAAGCGUGGGGAGCGAACAGG
rnacentral:rRNA from 1 species